AAAUUCCAACUCAGGAAAGAGGUAAGCCACCUCACCUGAAAUCGAGUCUUGGGUUUGUGAAGGUAACGACACAGACUAAGCGUAGACAGAGCGAGUCUAGGCCGUAACGCAAGUGAAGCGAUUGAGCCUCGUUAGUACGUCCGGAGGCCGACAAGGUCGAAUACUUGGAAGGCUAUAGUAGUUUCCUGUUAAUGGCGAGGGAAAUGGAGACUCCGGCGGGGUCUGAGAGCA
rfam:Clostridium pasteurianum DSM 525 = ATCC 6013, complete genome.